rnacentral:rRNA from 1 species
CCCUUAGAUGUUCUGGGCCGCACGCGCGUUACACUGAUGCAUUCAACAAGUUCUUUCACCUUGGCCGAGAGGCCUGGGCAAUCUUUGAACGUGCAUCGUGAUAGGGAUAGAUUAUUGCAAUUAUUAAUCUUGAACGAGGAAUUCCUAGUAAACGCAGAUCAUCAAUCUGCAUUGAUUACGUCCCUGCCCUUUGUACACACCGCCCGUCGCACCUACCGAUUGAAUGGUCCGGUGAAGCCUCGGGAUUGUGGCUGGUUCCCUUUAUUGGGGAUCGGUUGCGAGAACUUGUCUAAACCUUAUCAUUUAGAGGAAGGUGAAGUCGUAACA